UUUUAGCUUGUGAAAUACUGAACAGUCUUGUUGUCUGGCCUACCUGAGCACUUUGUAGGAUGAAGCUGAAAUAGGCUGGGAAUGGGGGUGGUGGUACAGAAUUACAGAUAGAGUUGUUGGUUAUGUUAUCUAGCCUUCCUUCCUAUCACUACAUAAGUUUUCCACAGUACAUAUCUUCCUUUCCAAAAAGAUACUGGAUAGAAGGUUCAUGCCAAAAGUGAAUAAAAGAUGAUGAUCGAGGAGUUUUGAAAUAAAGAAACAGCAUGGUGCUCACUGACACUGAGACACUAAGUUUAGAAAGAAAAUGAGGCAGCAAUUUUUCUGCCUUUUGACAUGCUACCCACAUAACACUUCUUCUUAGGUCAUAUCUACCUUCCUUACAUUCUGGUCACCAGUUGAAAAUCAUCCUAAAAUGCUGAUACUUCCAAUCAGGAUUCUCUAAAAUAGUGAACUGUGUGGUAUUUUGCUAUGUAUUAAAAAUGCUAUGGACGUCCAUUGUUAAAAACACGAUUUUCCUUAAUCCCUGCUUCACCCUACAAGCUCAUCCCUGCAGCCAGUGCAUGGAUCAGAGCAGUGAAGUCAAUGAAGUCCAAGCUGAGCCGUGUCUGCUGACCCUGACCCCUUCAAAGUGAAGGCAAUCCUGCCAGUGUCCUACGUCCAGAGUGUCUGCUCUAAGUUUUGAUCUUGGGACAGUGAUCUUCACCCAUUCUCUCGGCCUCUGAACUAAGAUGGCACUAAGAAGCUGUUAUGAAUUCUCCUCCUGUUCUCACUGUACUGCCUGCUCCUUCCUGCAGUGAAUCAGCACUUCAGGAAACACUAAUUCAAAGAGGAAAGACACCCUAAACUCUGAUUCUGAAGGUCAGGAAUUGCUGCUCUCCGGAUGUUCAGAGGCUGCUGCUGGCACCCCAGGGAGCACAGAGAAAUUGCCUGGGUAAGACAGGACUGUGAGAGGCUGGAAUGCCUUGAACUGAGGUCUCCACAAAUCCUGGAUCAGGCUUUCCCUGGUGGCUCUCUGUCAGCUCAUACCCUGCAGUCCCUUCUGUGCCCAGUGCUGCCAAGUAAGCCCAGCAGACCAUUCUCACCUGCCAAGAUGGAAUGGAUGACUUUAUCAGUGGUUCUCAAGAAGACAACUCGAUAUUGAUGGAUCUGUGCUGUUCUAGAGUGCAUCCUGAACCACUUGCAGCAGGUGUCACCAUGAAGAAGGAGCUUGUCACAGGUGAGCACCAGAUUUCAAGCAGAGAUGUGUUCAAACAAAGAUGUGCAAUUUUGCUCUGUGAGGAUGCAGGAAGAAGCGCAGAGCUAUCUCUAGAUCAGAGCAGUUCCUGAGCCUGCUGGAGAAAUGGCAGAUGGCCAGAGAUAGCACAAACCACUGCUCUCCCAGAUUACAAUGUGGAGAGCUGAACCUUCCAGGCACAAGUUUCCAGGACAGCAAAUUGUGCACAGAAAGCUGCAAAGAGUAACAUUUAGACAAAUGCUUGAUGAGCAGACCGUCCAACAACCUGCAGAGGUGCCUACUUGUCUGCUGUGAACGAUGGCAGCACAGCAGCGCCGUGGCUCUGCUGAGCAGGACACCAAACCCAUCCCAGCCCCAAGACAGACACGGGGACAGC